GCGACAUGGUUCAAUGUUCCAAUAUAUCAGCACAAUCUACUUUUUUGAUUUUUCAAAUCGCCGCCGUCUUGAAGCAAAAAUUGGGAUCAUGUUUACUGCGCUAAUGACCAUACAAAAAAACAGUAAAAAAGAGCAAUGUAGAAUACAGUGAACUCUGCAAAACAAGGAAUUUCUGUCCCACUCUGCCCUGGUGUUUUCCUGCAGUCGACCAGACCCCGCAGUAAAGCGGAACUGGGAGGCGUUUGACACGGGGACUCCGGGAGGGUGCAGGGGAACGGGCUAGCGUUGUCCUGUUGGCCGCAAGAAGUAUUAAAAAGUGUAUAUUUCAA